CAGCCGAAAGUUUAGUGUAUCAACAAGUACUGUUUCAAAAGUAAUGACAGCCUUUGAGAAAGCGGGAAAAACAUCAUCGAAAUAAAACUCCGGAAGAAGACCAAAGCUUUGAGAUAGGGACCGUCGGACUCUUACGGGAAUUGUUAGAAAGGAUCACAAAAGUACAGCUCGCAAAAUUACUGCAGAGCUUAAUGACCAACUCGAGAACCCAGUUUCCACAAAAACUGUUCGCCAGG